rnacentral:lncRNA from 1 species
GUGGAGACCCAAGGAAGACAGAACGUGGAGGUGGUGUCUGCCGGAUCCCUCUGGUCAGCCUUGAUGCGGAUGAGCGGGAGGUCUGCAUGGGGGCGGCCGCCGGGAGCUUGAUGGACCGGGUUGCUGAGCACGGGCGAACUGUUGGAGUGGGCGAGGCGUCUGCGGCACUGGCGGCGGAGGCCUGCAGUAGUAACGUGUUUGUUGGGUGGAAUGAUGCUACAGUGAUUGGGCAGCUCAGCGAUAGGACGGAGCUGGCUGUAGCAGAGGGUUUGGAGAUGGUAAGAAAUAAAAGAUCGGAGGGUGUAAUUGGUGAAAGGAAGGUGGAAGAUCUCCCUAAGCCAUGGGAGUUU